GACGAACCGAGCGAACGUUGUUCGGAAUCACUGGGCAUAAAGGGUGCGUAGGCGGGCCACCAAGUCUGUGGUGAAAUUCUCUGGCUUAACCAGAGUAGGGCCGCGGAUACUGGGGGCCUGGAGGGAGAUAGGGGCGUGCGGAACUCUGGGUGGAGCGGUGAAAUGCGUUGAUAUCCGGAGGAACACCGGUGGCGAAGGCGGGUCUCUGGGCCAUUACUGACACUGAGAAGCGAAAGCAUGGGGAGCGAACAGG
rnacentral:rRNA from 1 species